GUCCAUUCCAAAUUAAAAAACCUUCUGGUCCUCUUACUAAAAUCUCCAAUGAGGAGGAAGGUUCCACAACCGCCAUCCAGAAAAAUGAAUUUCAGAAUCACUGGAUUCACCGAUUUGUGUUCAGUUGAAGUAUUUCCGAUUUUUGUGUAGACUGAUAAUGGGGAAGUUGAUGAGAGGGAGAACUAAAAGAGUUGCUGCCUCUGCUGCUGCUGUCGUGGCGUGGCCCCGGUCGCGGAUGGGUGGGAGCGCCGAUGGGGGUGCGUCGGG
rnacentral:misc_RNA from 1 species